CGCUAACUAUCUCAGUAAGUCACUUUCUCAGGGCCCCACUUCUCAGGGAGCCAUCCCAAUUCACCUUUUGGCCCUAUUUUUUCACCGUGGUUGUUGGCCAUGUUUUCCUAACUGAUCUCAUAAAUCAGGAAAUUUCAUGCUUGUAGACGCAAGACAUCCUGGGCUCUAAUUGAGCACUGCACUACUGGACAUUACUGCACCGAACAGUAAGCACACAGUACAACUGUGACAAUGUCUGGAAGACACGUAUGAAGCCUGAAGAACAGAGAGUACAUUUUUUGGGAAAAUGCUUACUGUAAAUCCUGGGACUCUGAAGAGGUUAUUCUGACAAGUCAUUUUCCCUGGUGUGUCUUUGAUGUCUUUUCUUAAGGCUGUAGUUUCUUCUCCAAGCUGUGUGGUAAUCUACUGGAUGGCAGCACUACAACUUGAGCAUUCUUCCGCUGAUACUAUGUAAUGUUCCUAUGUGCUCAGUGGAGACAAUUAUUGCCUGUCUAUGUGAGCUGCUUUUUCAAGGAAGGAAAUGACUGAAGAAAUGGGAACGCUGUCAACAUUGAGAUGAAUAUGAGGGACGGAGGGAUAUGUUUGUUUUAAAGAAAGAAAUAAAACAGCAUUUGAAAUUUUUUUUAGAGUGUGAACUUUUUCCAGGCUAGAUCCAGGUAGAGCGACUUCAAGGCUCAGAGGCCGAGAACGUGUGGCUACUGGGUUUCAGAACUCUGGUCUUCUAACUCCAGUUUCCACACUUCUGUCACCAGCUACUCUUUGAACAUGAACCUGAUGUCCUUUGAGGUCACUCCUGCAACCUGAUCUCAAUUCUAGUUUGACCUCACCUUCUCAUGGGAGCCCAGUUUCUACUGAUGAAAAUCCUGCAGACUUGGACAUGAUAGAACUUCGAGCUGUGAGCUGCCAUUCAGCCUCUGUUGCCAUCUCUGAUGCCCUAGAACCCAUGAUGUCUUGAGGAUGUCUAUUCUAAAAGAGUGCUGCUCUGGGUCUCCGUUGACUUACCCGUGGGCCGGGACAAGUGGCGCCCAACGUGGGGCCAGAGAACGGGGAGAUCCAGUGAAGAACGCUGCUCGGGGGCCCAAUAAAAUAAAAUAGAAAAAGGAGGAUUGCGUCUGACGUGAACCUGCCGUCUUUCCUGCACCUCGGUUAAGAAGGUGACAUCCCUGAUUCCGUUGCAUGGUCUGUUGCUGUUCCUGGCAUCGACAACAAAAAGUGGAUUUCAACCAGUUAACAAACAACAAUUGCUCAUUGCCCUGUAUGGUAACCCCUGUGACUGUGCUGGGGGUUCUGGCAGGGCUGCACCCACAAGUUACACUCGUAGUACUGAUUGCGGUGACAAGAUUGCCUACUUAGUUUAUG
rnacentral:lncRNA from 1 species